CUGUGUCCUGCAAUCCUGUGUGCUGUGCUACAGACGCGUGUGGAGGUCAACCCAAAAUGGGCACAGUCUCACCACAGAAGAGUGAAAGAGGAUCCUGGCAGGGAGACGGUAGUGUCCUGCAGAAUGUUGAUGGGCCAAUCUUACAAGAGACCACAGAAAACUGAUAUAGUGAACUAUAGAAACAACAGUGCCUGCUGCAGUAUAACGAGGACGCCCUGAGCAGAGAGCUCCAAUAGACCCAGGUCCAUUGUCUUGGCAGGGUGAAAUGGCACUGAUAUGGUGUCCUGCAGGAUGCUGUGUCCUGCAAUCCUGUGUGCUGUGCUACAGACGCGUGUGGAGGUCAACCCAAAAUGGGCACAGUCUCACCACAGAAGAGUGAAAGAGGAUCCUGGCAGGGAGACGGUAGUGUCCUGCAGAAUGUUGAUGGGCCAAUCUUACAAGAGACCACAGAAAACUGAUAUAGUGAACUAUAGAAACAACAGUGCCUGCUGCAGUAUAACGAGGACACCCUGAGCAGAGAGCUCCAAUAGACCCAGGUCCAGUGUCUUGGCAGGGUGAAAUGGCACUGAUAUGGUGUCCUGCAGGAUGCUGUGUCCUGCAAUCCUGUGUGCUGUGCUACAGACGUGUGUGGAGGUCAACCCAAAAUGGGCACAGUCUCACCACAGAAGAGUGAAAGAGGCUCCCAGAAGUGAGACUGAGUGCCUGUUGCAGUAUGACGAGGACACAGUGACCAGAGACCUUCAGUAGACCCUGCUGGCA